rnacentral:lncRNA from 1 species
AGACAGGACGCCCUGUCUCCUUUCUCUCCUACAACCGCUUUUUAAAAGUCUGUUUCUGUUUUUGCUGGUUCCCCGGCGAGUCGGGCCCUGCCGUGGCCCCUGAGGAGGGGGCGGCGAUCGCGCGAUGCGGCUGCGACCACGACUGCGGCGCCCAGGGGAACCCGGUGUGCGGCUCCGACGGGGUGGUCUACGCCAGCGCCUGCCGCCUGCGGGAGGCCGCCUGCCGCCAGGCCGCGCCCCUGGAGCCCGCGCCUCCCAGCUGCUGCGCCCUCGCAGGACGUGAAGCUGAAUGGAGCCGGCCUUGAGGUGGAGGACUCAGACCCUGAGCCUGAAGGGGAGGCGGAGGACAGUCAGAGCGGCUUCUCUUCCUAACGGCUGCCCUGCUGAGAGCAGGACGACACCAUCUGGCUGCAUCCUGUCCCUAUCAGCCUGUGACUCUGUAUGGUGGGUGGGCAGACCUCAGCCCAGGUGACACCUGCCUCUAAAUGAACCCAAGGAACAGAAUGACAGAGAUCUGCCCGUCCCUAGGAUGAGACUCUUGGGACCCAGGUGUGGGCUCAGCAGUCACCGGUGUGGUGCAGGGGGGACAGCUGGAGGUCCCUUGGGAGAUCCCCCACCUUCCUAGCUACAGCUGGAGCUCCAAGCACCCCAACCCCCCAGCCUUGGAGCUGGGCAUCAUUUUCCUGGGGCCACGGCAGCUCCCACAGCCUGACAUUCUGUUCCCGGGAGAAGAAACAUUCCCAGAAAGCACUCGUGUGGCCAAAAGCCUCUUUCUGAGCAAACACGAUGUGGACUAAAUUAGCAAAACAUCCAGCCGGUGGGCAACUUCAAAACGGAACAGGCUGCGUUUCUCUGAAACACAAAGCCCCGGCCUCCCUUUGGGGCACCCAGGACCCCAAAUUGCCCUAAGACUGUCCCAGCUCUCGCACCCUCUGCCUUCGCCC